rnacentral:rRNA from 1 species
CGGUCCAGACUCCUACGGGAGGCAGCAGUGGGGGAUAUUGCACAAUGGAGGAAACUCUGAUGCAGCGACGCCGCGUGAGGGAAGAAGGCCUUCGGGUUGUAAAGUACUUUUGUCAGGGAAGAAAAGCCUGAGGAUAACACCCUCAGGUCAUGACGGUACCUGAAGAAUAAGCACCGGCUAACUACGUGCCAGCAGCCGCGGUAA